rnacentral:rRNA from 1 species
CCUACGGGGGGCAGCAGUGGGGAAUAUUGCACAAUGGGGGAAACCCUGAUGCAGCAACGCCGCGUGAGCGAUGAAGGCCUUCGGGUCGUAAAGCUCUGUCCUAAGGGAAGAAUACUGACGGUACCUUAGGAGGAAGCCCCGGCUAACUACGUGCCAGCAGCCGCGGUAAUACGUAGGGGGCUAGCGUUAUCCGGAAUUACUGGGCGUAAAGGGUGCGUAGGCGGCCCUUCAAGUCAGAGGUGAGAGGCUACGGCUCAACCGUAGUAAGCCUUUGAAACUGUAGGGCUUGGGUGCAGGGGAGGAGAGUGUAAUUCCCGGUGUAGGGGUGAGUUGCGUAGAUAUUGGGAGGUAGACCAGUUGCGAGGGCGGCUCUCUGGACUGUAACUGACGUUGAGGCAGGAAAGCGUGGGUUGCGAACAGGAUUAUAUACCCUGUUAGUC